rnacentral:rRNA from 1 species
AUGGUGCUCUGGGACAUGAUCCACGCAGCCACAGCGGUCGGUCUGGCGCUGCCGCACUCGCCGUCCUGGUAUGGCCUCACCAUCGGGGGGCUGCUCGUGACGGGCGCGCACGGGAGCUCGCUGUGGGGAAAGGGCAGCGCCGUGCACGAGUACAUGGUCGGGAUGAGGAUCGUGACGUUGGUGCCAGCGAGCCAGGGAUUCGCUGUGGUCAGGGAGCUCGGCCACAAACACCCAGACCUCAACGCGGCCAAGGUCUCCCUCGGCGUUCUUGGCGUCGUCUCACAGGUUACUCUGCAGCUGCAACCAAUGUUCAAGCGGUCGGUCACGUUCGUCGAGCGCGACGACUUGGACUUCGUGGCACAGGUGGCUCUGUGGGCCGAUCGGCACAAGUUUGGCGACAUGACGUGGCUGCCACGGCGGGCCAAGGUCAUCUACCGCGAGGACGGACGCGUUGAUGUCUCGUCGCCUGGCAAUGGCCUCAACAACUACCUCGGUUUCCGCUCUAACCCGACGCUCGGGCUUAUGCCAGAGUCGCAGAGGAAUGCCUAG